AUCCCGUGGCCCCAAGGAGCCCUGGACGAGAAGAGGAAAGUGCGCCCCCUCCCCGUGGGUGCAGCCCCACAGGUGGAUGGAGCCCCCUCCCAGCCUGCUCCGUGGUUCUCGUUGGGUGAACGAUCCACAUACCACGCCUGGCAGACCUCACCCUGACCUGCUGGAACUUUCUUUGUCUAGCUGUCUCUUCUCUCACUUGGUUCCUGAGGCAGCCCCCGCCCACUUGUCACCCAUUCUGUACACAAUUUCGCGUGAGAUGCUGAAACUUCCCUUGUUCCUAUGCCUAAGCCAGCUCCCUCCCCGACGCCUGCUCCACACCACCGAAUGGGGGAGCCUGGCCUUGUUUCCCCCCCCCCCAACCUGGCAUUAGCCCUGCCUUCAUGCAGGCCUUCGAGAGUUUACAUUUAGGGUCCCUGUGGGUAGCCCCAGCUGCACAGCAUCCUCUCUCAACCUCAGGUUCCUCCUUCGUGAACUGGGUUGGUGGUGUACAGUGACUGAGGUGAACCUGGCUUCCACCGGGACCCUCCUCCUUGGGACAAGGGGGAUGGCCUUCCUGUAGCCUCUGUUUAAAGUCCAAAGAGAGUCUGAGGCAGCCUUGAGCAGAAGCUGGGCCGUGUGGUCCAUGCCCUCUCAGAUCUCCUGUGACUUCCCAGCUCAGUGGAAAAUGCCAGAAGGAGAACCCUUGCCAGGAGGAGGAGGACUGAGAGCCAGGGCUCGCCAGAUCCAGGGAGAAAGGGGCCAGGCCAGGAAGAGGGAGGGACUCAGGUGGGCCAGGCGAAGGGGGACGACCUGGAGGGGCUUCCAGCCUCUGGUCCCUCUGGCUUCCAGUGUCAACUGGACCAGGAAGGAAGUGUCGGGCCAGAGGAGCUAAGCCUUGUGAGGCCGUGUGGGCUGUGAGUCAGGCCCCCAGCCCCUCGGUGGCCGACACCUGUCAUCCCGGCUGCCCUGGAAUUGCCCGGGAAGCAGAGGAGCCCGAAUUAGCAAGUGACAAGGCUCAGCCUUCCCGCCCAGCACUCUGGGCCAGCGCCCCGUGACAGCCAGCGCCACGAGCCCCCCCUGCCUCCUCCACCCCGUGUCACCAUCUUAAGCCCAUCGGGUGAUGCAGGGCCGGGUUUCCAGCGGCUCAGUCCUGGGAGGAGGUGAGGCAGGGGGCGGAGGGGGCUGGAGCAGAAGAAAUAAAGAAGGGAAAGUAGACGUCCCCCCAUUUCCUGCCACAAACCAGCCUCACUGCCGAGGCCUGAGGAUCAGAGACACCGUGCGGCACAGCAAGUCACACUCGCCCCUGGGGGCAGACACUGCACUCACUGAUGACGGUCCCCCCGGGGAGCUCAAGCAGCUCAGACCCUCUGAGCCUCCGCGUCCUCGUCUGUAAGAUGGGGUGAUGGCGGCGCUGCCUCAGUGGGUACUGGGGGCUUAACUGAGUCACGUGCUCAAAGGCUUUAAGCAAAUGCUUCACAAAUGUGGGCUCGGGUGUUCUCUGAAGCCUCUGACCGACCUGGGAAGCGGCUCGCCGAGGCCCUGGGCACCGGGCCUCUGUGCUCCUGAACCAGCCCUCCCGCUGACGCCUGGACAGGGCGAGUGCUCCGUCCAUAGGGACCAGCCCCGAUUGUCCGCGUUCCCGGGUGAUGCUGAGGCUGCUGUUCUGGGGACCCCACUUGAAGAACCACUGUCGUACUAAACCAGGAUCCCCACGGCUGCCUGUACCGUCUCCCUAAAGUAAGAAGAUGAUCAUGUUGCCUCCAUGUUCCCCCAUCCGUCACCUCAGGAUGAAACACAGGCCCUACUCAAAGGGUCAAGCCGACGCCCUUUGUGACCUCACAGCUCCUGGCUUCCACACUCCCUUCCCUCAGGCUUCACGGAGCUGCUGGAAGCUCCCGGAGCGGGUGGAGGCUUCUCAGAGGCUCAGAGGCCCUUCUGUCUCACCCAACCCCCAAUGAACUGCCUCCUACCCUCCUACAAAUCUUGGUGGAGCAUUGCCUCCUCCAGGAAGCCCACCUUGACUGUACUGGGAGCCAUCCUCCAGGCUCCACAGCCCCUGUGUGUCCCUCUUUUGCUGCACGUAACCCACAACAUUGGAGUCCUCUCUCUCCUAGUUUCGAGAAACUUGAGUGUUGACGCCAGGUCUUACUCAUUUCAUGUCCUCGGUGGCCGGCACAGGGCCGUACACCAAUAGGCGAUCAAUAAACGCUCACUGGACAAAUGAAUGGACAAAUGGACGACACAGAGAGGAGUCUUCUGACCAAAGACAGUGGCAGAAACUGCCUGUAGGGCUCAGGGGGGACCCUUGCUUCUCCCCGGGGCCCUGAAAUAAGGCAGGGGAGCUCCCGGCUGAGGGGUAGGGAAGCGUCCUGUUCGAGUUCUUGGCACCCAGGGGCCCCCGGGGACAGGCAGCCACAGCCGCCCACUGACCUCACCGCGGGGGCUGACGGGCUCUCCUGCCCGUGAUGUGCUCAGACAUACAUAAAAACAACAGCUGGGCAGCUGGGCCUUUGUUGGUGUUAAACUUAGCCCCUCGGAGGUCACCCUGAACCAUGACACCCCCUCCACCCCAUGUCCAAGCUGGGGCCGGGCAGGUGCCAACACAGAUAGAGGGCCUUGACGGUGCCAACCCAGAGGGCCUUGACGCCUGGCGAACGCCCAGCCUCCCUGCCACCUCCCCCCACCACCGGCUCCAAUUCUCUCCGAGCCCCAACCCCCCGCAGCCUGCAGCCCUCUCUCUCCGUUGCUCUCGCACUCCUGCCCCUGCUCCAGGGCUGCGCUGCAGGAGCCUCGGGGAGGAAGCGGCCAGGAAGGGGCCUUCUCCAUCGGAGGUUCCAAGGAAGUUCCUCCAAGACCCCGGCCAGGGUGAGAAAACUCUCCAAAACUCCGAGGCUGGGCUGAACCUCCUCCUGAGGGUAGGGAUUCCGGGGACCCCGCCCCUUCCACACUGGGGCAGAGGGUGGGCAGCCUGCUGACUCCUCUCUCGCAAGAAAGAGGGGGCCCCUCCUCCAUGUCCUCCUCAGUGUAGGCUCCAAGCCCAAGGUCUCUUCUCUCCUUGUUGGAGGAGUCACCUGCCUGAGGAUUCGCAACCCCACGUCGUGCCUCCACCUGCUCACCGUGGGGCUGCAGGGGACCCCGGACUCCAGACUCACAGCCACACCCAGACUUACCAUAACGGCUGGAGCAGAGGGGGGAAACCAACCAGGGUGUGUGUGGGAGUGAAAUUCAUUAAUCCUCCGGGACAGUGAGUGCCAGGCUUGGUGAGGCCACCCCUUCUGUUCCCGGCUCAGCCGUCCCGUGUGUCUGUGGCGGCACUUUGCAAAACAGGCUCCGCCAACCCUCGAGGGUAUGUUGCUGGCCUUGUCCACAUGUUGGCCUUUGCCCUGAUGGGGCAGAGACAGUGGUGGGUAGAGCUGCUGGUGCGAAGCAGGGACCGAGGAGCCCAGACGGUGCUGGCCGCCGUGUCCCUGUCCCCCACCCUCUCAGCGGGGCAGCCGGUUUUACUGCAGUGCCCUCGGCGAUGCGGGAAGAAGCGUGAAGUGCGUUGUACUGAAUACAGCAGGUGCACACCCUGUGCGGCUGCCAGGUCCCAACGCAGAAGGAAGGCGCACUUGGUGCCGCUCACGUGGCACGUCAUUUCCACUCGAAAGAGGGAGAGAUUGAAAAACUGUGGUCAGUUGGACUUGAAUAUUGGUAGAUGUUUUCUCCAAAAUGAACCAAACGGGCCUGUCGCUUCAAGGAAAACAGCGGAGAGUACUUGUUGUCAGUUAUAAAAUUCAAGCUUUGGGGCCGGCCUGCAGCUGAGUGGUUAAGUUUGUGUGCUCCGCUUCCACGGCCCAGGGUUUUGCUGGUUCAGAUCCUGGGUGUGGACAUGGCACUGUUCAUCAGGCCAUGCUACGGUGGCGUCCCAUAUAGCAGAACCAGAAGGACCCACAAAUAAAGAUAUACAACUACUUACUCGGGGGCUUGAAGAGAAGAAGAAGAGAAAAAAGAAGAUUGGUAACAGUUGUUAGCUCAGGUGCCCAUCUUUAAAAAAAACGAGAAAGUAAAACAACACCAAGAAAAAAAAUCAAGUUUUAUAAAAUUCAAGCUUUUAAGUGAAAACUCAAAUCUUGGAGAAUUCAUAUCCACCUUUGGGAGCUUCACCGUUUUGCAUGUUGCAAAAGUCUCCGUACGCAGAUGCCCCAAUACGUGAUAAGGUCGGCGGUGAUAAUAAAGAACCUGAUUUUUAGAAAUCAUUGAAUGAGGUAGGAAAUGUGUUAACAUUUGGAAGAUCCAUACGACUCAGGGCACCAAUAUUUUCCAGAUGCCCAAGGUGCAGCGUUACAACAUCGUGCCCAGAUGAGAGGUCCACUCUGACGAAACAGACAAUGAGAUGCCGCUGACGGGCUCCAGGUUCCACGCAGCCGCCAAACUUUAAGAAACUCCCACCUGGCGAGUCUUGACCUAGAACCCGAGAAGAAUGUCCGCAACCCUCUGGAAGGCUGUGAAAACGCUCCUCUCUUUUCUGACUACAUACCUGUGUGAGGCUGGAUAUCUUCUGUGUCCUCCCACCAAGGUGCGUUACGACAGAUCGGCUGCAGAGGCAGGUAUGAGAGUCCAGCUGACUCCUAGCAAACCAGAUGUCCAAGAGAUUCAUAAAAACGUAAAACAAUGCCACUCUUAUUAGGUACUUUUAUUUCAUAAUUUUAUUAUGAGACAUUUUAUUUAUAAUAAAUCAUAGUUUUCUUUAUUUUUAUUUAUGUUUGUAUUAUUUAUAACAUUGUAUUUAUAAAAGUAUUUUAUUCAUAUUAACACGUAAGACGGGCCUAUGAUUAUAAUUAUUAAAUGAAUUAAUAUUUUAAAAAUUUCUCAGUUUUCAUUUCUGAUAAGGUAUUUAUUGACACCUCUGACUGACUUAAAAAGUCUUUAGGGUCCUCAGUAAAGAGUGUAAAAAAGUCUUGAGCCCCCAAAUUUGAGAACCACUAUUUCUGGUUUUCGUGGUUGAUUAUCAUUAUUAUUGUCCUGACUCACUUAUGUUAUCUAUCAAAUAAAGUAAAAAACAAAAGCGAUCAAGAAAAAAUGAAGCAUGAUUUUUAAUUCUGUCAAGUGACAGCCGGUAACAGGAAUCAAUCAAGAAAUUCUUAACACCCUGUUGAGUGCGGGAGACGCCACCGCCAGGGAGCUCCGAGGAUUUCACGGGCUUAAUAAAAUGUCCCUAAAAUGACAAGUUAGGGAUGUUUUCAAAAUGAACUGCGUGGAACAGUUUGAGCGGGCAGCUGUGAGUUGUGGUUCAGUCCUUCUCUCCGUAUCUUUGUGAGAAAACUCCGGCUUUGACAGGCGGCCUCCGGGAGCCCAGGUCAGAUCCCAGGAGCUGGGGAUGCAGGUCUCCCCCUCACCACCAGAGGGAGCAUUGGUGCAGGGCUGGAGCAAACGCAGCCGAUCUGACAGCAGUGCUGUGUGACACACAGGCUAUAACCCGAUGCAGCUGUUUGAAAAUGGGUGUCUUUCUUAAGCACCUCCUCCUCGUGUGCAAUCACUCGCGGUAACUCAGGAGGUUCCGCCGGGGGUGAAAUGCACGCUUGCUGCAUUUUCGCAUGCAUUUUUGAAGCAUGAGACUUCUCCGUGCCUCAGACUAGAAUCCAGACAGAAAUGGAGCCUUAUCCUGCUUUGUCGUCCACGUGAAGAUGUGACAAACUCCCCGGACAUCUGUAAUACACGCAAUAAG
ensembl:lncRNA